rnacentral:rRNA from 1 species
AGAGUUUGAUCAUGGCUCAGGAUGAACGCUAGCGACAGGCCUAACACAUGCAAGUCGAGGGGCAGCGGAGAGGUAGCAAUACCUUUGUCCGGCGACCGGCGCACGGUGAGUAACACGUAUGCAAUCCACCUGUAACAGGGGAGUAACCCGGAGAAAUCCGGACUAAUACCCCAUAAUAUGGGCGCUCCGCAUGGAGAGCCCAUUAAAGAGAGCAAUUUUGGUUACAGACGAGCAUGCGCU